GACGUAGGGUCCAAGCGUUGUCCGGAUUUACUGGGCGUAAAGAGCGCGUAGGCGGUCUGUUAAGUGAGAAGUGAAAUCUCCAGGGCUCAACCCGGAAACGGCUUUUCAUACUGGCAGACUGGAGGGAUGCAGAGGUUUGUGGAAUUCCUGGUGUAGCGGUGAAAUGCGUUGAUAUCAGGAGGAACACCCAUGGCGAAGGCAGCAAACUGGUCAUCAACUGACGCUGAGGCGCGAAAGCGUGGGUAGCAAACAGG
rnacentral:rRNA from 1 species